rnacentral:tRNA from 1 species
UGGUGGGGUGGCAGAGCGGUUGAACGCGCCGGACUUGAAAUCCGGUAGGGGGCUCGUCUCCCUCGGGGGUUCGAAUCCCCCCCCCACCGU